GAUGAACGCUGGCAGAAUGCUUAACACAUGCAAGUCAACUUGAACUUCGGUUUUGGUGGCGGACGGGUGAGUAACGCGUAAAGAACUUGCCUCACAGAUAGGGACAACAUUCGGAAACGAAUGCUAAUAACUGCUAUUAUGAUUAUAUGGCAUCGUAUAAUUAUGAAAGCUAUAUGCGCUGUGAGAGAGCUUUGCGUCCCAUUAGCUAGUUGAAGAGGUAACGGCUCACCAAGGCGAGGAUGGGUAGCCGGCCUGAGAGGGUGAUCGGCCACAAGGGGACUGAGACACGGCCCUCACACUUACGGGAGGCAGAAGUGGGGAAUAUUGGACAAUGGACCAAGAGUCUGAUCGAGCAAUUGUGUGUGGAAGAUGAAGGUUUUCGGAAUGUAAAGUGCUUUCAGUUGGGAAGAAAACAAUGACGGUACCAACAGAAGAAGUGACGGCUAAAUACGUG
rnacentral:rRNA from 1 species